rnacentral:rRNA from 1 species
UGGGGAAUAUUGCACAAUGGGCGCAAGCCUGAUGCAGCCAUGCCGCGUGUAUGAAGAAGGCCUUCGGGUUGUAAAGUACUUUCAGCGGGGAGGAAGGGAGUAAAGUUAAUACCUUUACUCAUUGACGUUACCCGCAGAAGAAGCACCGGCUAACUCCGUGCCAGCAGCCGCGGUAAUACGGAGGGUGCAAGCGUUAAUCGGAAUUACUGGGCGUAAAGCGCACGCAGGCGGUUUGUUAAGUCAGAUGUGAAAUCCCCGGGCUCAACCUGGGAACUGCCUCUGAUACUGGCAAGCUUGAGUCUCGUAGAGGGGGGUAGAAUUCCAGGUGUAGCGGUGAAAUGCGUAGAGCUCUGGAGGAAUACCGGUGGCGAAGGCGGCCCCCUGGACGAAGACUGACGCUCAGGUGCGAAAGCGUGGGGAGCAAACAGG